rnacentral:ncRNA from 1 species
ACAAAGGCUUGGAAAAGAAGAAGUAAUGAUCACAUACACCCAUACAGAGAGCUGCCGGCGGGUGAGAGGCGCAUGAAAGAAUGGAUCAUGAAUACAUCUUGGAGCUGCACACCGAAAGAAUAUAGUUCGAGUAGGCUGUGACGGAAGGCACACGUUACCGUGCAUGAGUUGUGAAUACGCAACUUACAGAGGCGAGGCAUGUGAGUGUCUUGUGAAUCAAGGUGGUACCGCGGAGAUCAUAUCCGCCCUUAUC